AACGAACGCUGGCGGCAGGCUUAACACAUGAAAGUCGAACGCACCGCAAGGGGAGUGGCAGACGGGAGAGUAACGCGGGGGCAUCUAACCAGAUCCUCGGAACAACGGAGGGAAACAUCAGCUAAUACCGGAUACGCUCUACGGGGCAGGCAUUCGUCGGUGCUGGAUGAGCCAGCGUUGGAUUACAUAAUCGGUGGGGUAAUGGCCGACCAAGACGACGAUCCAUAGCUGGUCUGAGAGGAUGAUCAGCCACACUGGGACUGGGACACGGCCCAGACUCCUACGGGAGGCAGCAGUGGGGAAUAUUGGACAAUGGGCGAAAGCCUGAUCCAGCCAUGCCGCGUGAGUGAUGAAGGCCUUAGGGUUGUAAAGCUCUUUCAGUAGGGAAGAUAAUGACGGUACCUACAGAAGAAGCCCCGGCUAACUUCGUGCCAGCAGCCGCCGUAACAC
rnacentral:rRNA from 1 species